GUAGGGAAUAUUGCGCAAUGGACGAAAGUCUGACGCAGCGACGCCGCGUGAGUGAUGAAGGCCUUAGGGUCGUAAAGCUCUGUUGAAUGGGAAGAAAAAAAUGACGGUACCAUUCGAGGAAGGACCGGCUAACUUCGUGCCAGCAGCCGCGGUAAUACGAGGGGUCCUAGCGUUGUUCGGAAUCAUUGGGCGUAAAGGGUGUGUAGGUGGCCAUGUAAGUCAGGUGUGAAAGCCCCGGGCUCAACCCGGGAAGUGCACUUGAUACUGCGUGGCUUGAGUACCGAAGAGGGUAGUAGAAUUCCAGGUGUAGUGGUGAAAUACGUAGAUAUCUGGAGGAACACCGGUGGCGAAGGCGGCUACCUGGACAGUAACUGACGCUGAGACGCGAAAGCGUGGGGAGCAAACAGGAUUAGAAACCCGGGUAGUCC
rnacentral:rRNA from 1 species